UUCACUGACUCUUUUUCCACUCAGCCUGCCUGCACCCAGGUGAAUAAACAGCCAUGUUGCUCACAGAAAGCCUGUUUAGGGGAUCGCUUCAUUCAAAGCGUGUAUGUAAUACCAUCAUC